rnacentral:rRNA from 1 species
UCAGGAUGAACGCUAGCGGCAGGCCUAAUACAUGCAAGUCGGACGGGAUUCACCAGCUUGCUGGUGAUGAGAGUGGCGCACGGGUGCGUAACGCGUGAGCAACCUGCCCAUAUCAGGGGGAUAGCCCGGAGAAAUCCGGAUUAAUACCGCAUGAGACAGCACUUCCACCUGGGAGAGCUGUUAAAUAUUUAUAGGAUAUGGAUGGGCUCGCGUGACAUUAGCUAGUUGGCGGGGUAACGGCCCACCAAGGCGACGAUGUCUAGGGGCUCUGAGAGGAGAAUCCCCCACACUGGUACUGAGACACGGACCAGACUCCUACGGGAGGCAGCAGUAAGGAAUAUUGGUCAAUGGGGGGAACCCUGAACCAGCCAUGCCGCGUGCAGGAAGACGGCCCUACGGGUUGUAAACUGCUUUUGUACGGGAAUAACCCCCAAUACGUGUAUUGGGCUGAAUGUACCGUAAGAAUAAGGAUCGGCUAACUCCGUGCCAGCAGCCGCGGUAAUACGGAGGAUCCGAGCGUUAUCCGGAAUUAUUGGGUUUAAAGGGUGCGUAGGCGGCUUUCUAAGCAGUGGUGAAAGACGGUGGCUCAACCAUCGCAGUGCCGUUGAUACUGGGGAGCUUGAAUGUACUUGAGGUAGGCGGAAUGUGGCAAGUAGCGGUGAAAUGCAUAGAUAUGCCACAGAACACCGAUUGCGAAGGCAGCUUACUAAGGUAUGAUUGACGCUGAGGCACGAAAGCGUGGGGAUCGAACAGGAUUAGAUACCCUGGUAGUCCACGCCCUAAACGAUGAACACUCGGUGCCGGCGAUAGACGGUCGGCSCCCAMGCGAAAGCGUUAAGUGUUCCACCUGGGGAGUACGCCCGCAAGGGUGAAACUCAAAGGAAUUGACGGGGGCCCGCACAAGCGGAGGAGCAUGUGGUUUAAUUCGAUGAUACGCGAGGAACCUUACCCGGGCUUGAAAGUUACUGAAGAUAUCAGAGAUGAUAUCGUCCUUCGGGACAGGAAACUAGGUGCUGCAUGGCUGUCGUCAGCUCGUGCCGUGAGGUGUUGGGUUAAGUCCCGCAACGAGCGCAACCCCUGUGGAUAGUUGCCAGCAUUUAAAGGUGGGGACUCUAUCCAGACUCCUGUGCAAACAGAGAGGAAGGCGGGGACGACGUCAAGUCAUCAUGGCCCUUACGUCCGGGGCUACACACGUGCUACAAUGGCCGGUACAGAGGGCCGCUACACUGCAAAGUGGUGCCAAUCUCUGAAAGCCGGUCACAGUUCGGAUCGGGGUCUGCAACUCGACCCCGUGAAGUUGGAUUCGCUAGUAAUCGCGUAUCAGCAAUGACGCGGUGAAUACGUUCCCGGGCCUUGUACACACCGCCCGUCAAGCCAUGAAAGCCGGGGGUACCUGAAGCAUGUAACCGAACAGGAGCGUGUUAGGGUAAAACUGGUAAUUGGGGCUAAGUCG